rnacentral:rRNA from 1 species
GAUGAACGCUGGCGGCGUGCCUAAUACAUGCAAGUCGAGCGAAUGGAUUAAGAGCUUGCUCUUAUGAAGUUAGCGGCGGACGGGUGAGUAACACGUGGGUAACCUGCCCAUAAGACUGGGAUAACUCCGGGAAACCGGGGCUAAUACCGGAUAAUAUUUUGAACUGCAUGGUUCAAAAUUGAAAGGCGGCUUCGGCUGUCACUUAUGGAUGGACCCGCGUCGAUUUAGCUAGUUGGUGAGGUAACGGCUCACCAAGGCAACGAUGCGUAGCCGACCUGAGAGGGUGAUCGGCCACACUGGGACUGAGACACGGCCAAGACUCCUACGAGGGGCAGCAGUAGGGAAUCUUCCGCAAUGGACGAAAGUCUGACGGAGCAACGCCGCGUGAGUGAUGAAGGCUUUCGGGUCGUAAAACUCUGUUGUUAGGGAAGAACAAGUGCUAGUUGAAUAAGCUGGCACCUUGACGGUACCUAACCAGAAAGCCACGGCUAUCUACGUGCCAGCCGCCGCCGUAA